rnacentral:rRNA from 2 species
UUGUGGUGGAGCAUGUGGUUUAAUUAGAAGCAACGCGAAGAACCUUACCAGGUCUUGACAUCCUCUGACAACCCUAGAGAUAGGGCUUUCCCUUCGGGGACAGAGUGACAGGUGGUGCAUGGUUGUCGUCAGCUCGUGUCGUGAGAUGUUGGGUUAAGUCCCGCAACGAGCGCAACCCUUGAUCUUAGUUGCCAGCAUUCAGUUGGGCACUCUAAGGUGACUGCCGGUGACAAACCGGAGGAAGGUGGGGAUGACGUCAAAUCAUCAUGCCCCUUAUGACCUGGGCUACACACGUGCUACAAUGGAGAA